CGACCACAACGGGUGGAGCCUGCGGUUUAAUUGGACUCAACGCCGGGCAGCUCACCGGAUAAGACAGCUGGAUGAUAGCCGGGCCGGAGACUCUGCUUGACUAGCUGAGAGGAGGUGCAUGGCCGUCGUCAGUUCGUACUGUGAAGCAUCCUGUUAAGUCAGGCAACGAGCGAGACCCACGCCAACAGUUGCCAGCAUGUCCUCCGGGAUGAUGGGGACGACUGUUGGGACCGCCUCUGCUAAAGAGGAGGAAGGAAUGGGCAACGGUAGGUCAGCAUGCCCCGAAUUAUCCGGGCUACACGCGGGCUACAAUGGUCAGGACAAUGGGUAUCGACACCGAGAGGUGGAGGCAAUCUCCUAAACCUGUCCUUAGUUCGGAUUGUGGGCUGCAACUCGCCCACAUGAAGCUGGAAUCUGUAGUAAUCGUGUCUCAAAAUGGCACGGUGAAUAUGUCCCUGCUCCUU
rnacentral:rRNA from 1 species